CACUGCAGCAGUGUGCAGUGAGUUCUAUGCAAUUUUAAUGCUGUAAAUAUUUUUGAUAUAUAUGUUUAAAUUCAUAUUCCACUAGAUUUCUCAUUUUGCACUCUGGCAUUUUCUUAAUCUCUUUCUACAUGAAAUCCCAUAGGGUAGGUUAUGUACUAAAGUAUAGGUACAGAAAGCUAAUUCAAUAGAGCAAACCUUACGUCCACCCUUUAUUGUUAUAAUUUGUAUAGGAAUGGUCAAGUUCAUUGUUUUGUUCUGUGUAGAGCGCUGGGUAGUACCAGCUUCCUUGUAACUUUUAAUUAGACUGUCUAAUAAGCAGUCUGGCUUGACCAUAAGUUCAGAACCUUUAAAUAGAGAUGCAAAAAGCCAAGAAACUUCAGUUCAUAGUAAAGACACAGAAGAGAGAACUCCAGUUAACGUCAAGAUAUUUCUCGUAUUGAUUGCAACCAAGUGUACUUGUCUUAUAGCCUCCAAUUGUAUUUUAUCUCGGAUUUUGGACCGUGGGAUGACGGAAUAAAGUUCCACAUAAGCCACACUAAAGUCUGUGAAUACAUUUCUUUUGGAGUGAGAGUAUUUGUUAGCCGAAACUCCGUCCGUUUAUCGAGGAUAAAGGGCGGCAGCCACAAUAAAAUACAACUGCUGUAGACAUUUACGCUUCGUAAGGCAUGAGUGAGCGAGAAACAUCGGUGAGGAUGACGUCACUGAAAGGAGCAACCAGGGAUGAGGACCUGCAUAGCCAAGUAAGUGGUAGCAGUAGCAGGAGGAGCAGACUGAGCAGGAGAUCGAGUAGAUCAUCAAAAAGUGAACUUUCUGCCCGUAAAGCCUCACUGGAAGCUAAGAAGGAAAAUGAAAGUAAAAUGCUAAUGUUGCUAAAAGAGGACAAAGAAGCUAAACAAGCCUUUCAUCAAAAUAGGAAGGCUGUUCUUGAACAAAAAAUGAAGACUCUUGAGCUUGAACAGGAAGACAUGGAAAAUGCCUAUCUUAGUGAGCAGAAAGUGAUUGCUGCUCAAAAGUCUAUAGUAGCUGCAGACAUAGAAAUCUCAGAACUGGCUAUGUUGGAAGAAUGCUGCGAAGAUGAUAGUGGAACUGAUGAUGAGGUUUCUAUUAAAGGACUGACACGGGAGAAAAAGAGCGAAAGGAUGGAGCGAUUCUUCGGCUCACAGGAGGAAGUCACAGUGAAAAAUAUUAAGCCCGAGCCUCCCGUGGUCAAUACUCCACCAGUUAGUAGCCCAGCACUGCAAGCCGGACGGGAUAAAGCCGCAUCAUCACUAGAAGAUUGCCUGCAACAGCUGGCUCGUUUUGUUGCAGGACAAAACGCAGCUAGUAACCAACUAGCCGUAUUCAGCCAACUCCCUAAGAUCGACGUACCAAUCUUCUCUGGUGAUCCUCUGCAGUACACGCUAUGGAAAAAUGCCUUUGACUGUACAGUGGAUUCAAAGCCAAUUGGCGAGCAGUACAAAUUGAAUUACUUGAAUGCAUAUGUCAGUGGCAAGGCUAAGGAGAUAGUAGAGCAUCAUCUUUUGAUAGGAGGGAGUAAUGCAUACCAAGAGGCUUUGAAGCAGCUAGAAGACAGAUUUGGUGACCCCAAUACGAUAAGCGUCUCGUACACCAAGAAACUGACUUCUUGGCCGAAGAUAUCAAGCCACGAUGCCAGUGGACUGAGGGACUUCGCAGAUUUUCUUCAGAAAGUUGUGGCAGCCAAGAGGAGAGUCCGCAACUUGGGAAUUCUGGAUUACCCUCAAGAAAAUGUAAAGCUUGUGGAGAAGUUACCAGGCUAUUUGGAAGGAAAGUGGCGUGAUGAAAUCGACAGAUGGCGUUCUCAUAAAGGCCCACAAAGCUUCCCUUCUUUCACAGAAUUUGCCGAGUUUGUUAUGAGAGCUGCAAGCAAGGCAAACAUCCCUGAGAUGGAGCCAUUGUCUAAGGAACCAAAGCGGAGUUUCCAAACAAAUCAAAGGAGUAUGAAAGCAAGGACCUUUGUAACAAACGGACAAGAUAAUGAACCAAGCAAGCUGUCCAAGGUAUCGCAUAGGCAUGGCCUUUUCUCAAUGUGCCCCUUUUGCGAGAGAGAUCAUCACAUUGAAGAUUGUGAUGAUUUCGCACAAAACUCUAUACAUGUGAAAAAGGCUUUCUUCAGGAAGAAAAUGAUAUGUCUUGGGUGUGGAGGAACAGACGAUCACUUUGUCAGAAAUUGUCAGGAGAGAAAGUCAUGCAAAUUAUGUGGGAAAAUGCAUCUCACCUGCCUCCACUACGACCAAAACAAACCAGACACAGCUGAACUGCAGGAAGGAACAUCGCAUUGCACAUCUGUAUGUCCGACGCCUGACCAGGAAGGGAGGGAUCACAGUAUGAUCGUUCCUGUUUGGGUAAGGCAUGUGGAUCGACCAUCAGAGGAGACACUAGAAUAUGCCAUUCUUGAUGACCAGUCAAACGUGAGUUUUGUCUCCAAACGCCUCUGCAAGAAGCUAGAUGUUAAAGGAGAGAAAACGAAUCUUCUCCUUACAACAAUGCACCAGACAGGGAAGAUAGAAAGUGAGAGGAUUAAAGGUCUUGAGGUACUGGACUUCAACAAGGAGAAUGUAAUCCAGCUUCCAACCACUUUGUCCAGGGAUUCGUUACCUGCAUCUCGCUCCCAGAUCCCUAAGCCAGAGGUAGUCAAGCAGUGGGACCAUCUAAACAGCGUAGCAAGUAAAAUGAUGCCAUACAGGAAAGAUGUAGAAGUAUCGUUACUUAUCGGUAAUGAUUGUACAAGAGCAGUUAGACCACGUGAAAUCAUAAGUGGAAAUGAAGAUGACCCAUAUGCCCAGAGAUCAUUGCUUGGAUGGGGAGUAGUUGGGAGAGUGCAUAAAACUCCUGGAGAACUCAAGUCUGCAACUUGUAACAAACUCUCAGUCAACUCAUGCCCCAACUCUAGUUUCCAGACCAAGGUUAAGACAAAUAUCGGCCCUGAAAAGAUCAUUCAAGCAUUGGAAGCCGACUUCAAAGAGAAGGAAGGUCGUCCAUCACUAUCGGUACACGAUGUGAGGUCUCCUGAUAUCUUGGAGAAGGGAAUAACAAGGAGUCAAGCUGGGAAUUACGAAAUGCCUGUACCUAGCUUCAAGUCAGAUCAAGUCCAAGUGCCUGAUAAUCGUCCUCUUGCUGUUAAGAGAUGGAAUCAACUGAAUAUUCCCCAUCUUUCUCACAUAGGGGGAGCAUGGGAAAGACAAAUUGCUACUGUUAACGUUCGUCGUGCUCUAGAGCCCCUUCUGAGCAGCUCAGGAAACCAGCUUGACGACGAAUCUUUCAGAACAUUCUUAAAAGAGGUUGAAUCAGUAGUCAACUCUAGACCUCUUUCGACGACACACCUUUGUUCUCCAGAUGCUCCUGAGCCUCUAACACCAAACCAUCUGUUGACUUUGAAACCUAGAAUCGUGCUACCUCCUCCUGAGAAGUUCCAAACGGCAGAUUCCUAUUGUCGCAAAUGGUGGAGACAAGUUCAGCAUCUCUCCAAUGAAUUCUGGCUGAGAUGGAGUAAAGAAUUCUUGGCUGAACUCCAAACCAGACAGAAGUGGGUUACACCAAAGCAAAGCGUCAGGGCAGGAGAUGUGGUCAUCGUCAAAGAAGAAGGAGAAUUUCGAGGUAAUUGGCCCCUUGGUCGAGUAGAGAAAGUCCUUCCUAGCAAAGAUGGUCACGUACGCAAAGUCCAACUGAUGAUGGCAAACAAGUGUUUAGACGAAGAUGGACGAAGGAAAGGUCAGCCAACUAUCCUUGAAAGACCGAUACAUAAGCUGGUGGUGCUAAUUCCUACUGAAGAAACAUCACAAGGAAGGAUGCAAUCGGAAGACCAGAGGAUUCCCGAUCAAGGAGCCAGCCAAGAAGAAAAUAAGAAGUGAUGUCUUAUUGUAAAUGUUUAAUUUCUCUUUCUCUGAAUCUGUCAAACUCUUUCCCUAGUAUCCUCAUUCUCUCUUCUUCUCCCUCAGCCUUUUCACUCUCUCUCUUUCUCUCUAUCAGCAUUCUCUUUCCUAUAUUUUUCUUGCAAUCAUUAUGUAUAGAGUGAUUUUUGGAAUUUUUAAAUUACUUGAGGUGUAAUUUGUAACAGUAAGAUCACUGAGUAAUAUUGAUUUAGAUUGAAAUCCAUUUCAUUACAUUGGUAUCAUUAACAUAUUUUUCUAUGGUCAAUGUAUUUGAUGUGCUUGACAUAAUAUAUAUGUACUAAGUAGUACAUUUCGACACUUGAAUCUAGUAUUGUUAUGCUAAGAUGAUCACAUAAUCAGGUGAUUGAGCUAUUUACAUUUGUUUUAGUUUUACAGAUAAAUUACACAAUGGGAUCGGAAUAUCAUGAUUCCUAUUUUGGGUUGUUGUUCUUACAUUACUGUUUAUACUGUAGCGAGUAUUUAAAUAUUUGAGUCUAUAAUAAUUUGAAGUAUUAGUAUUCUGAAUCAAUUCCUUUUGUACUAUUUUGGUAACUGAUAGCAGGAUCAGUUAAAGGAGCCAUGUCACUGCAGCAGUGUGCAGUGAGUUCUAUGCAAUUUUAAUGCUGUAAAUAUUUUUGAUAUAUAUGUUUAAAUUCAUAUUCCACUAGAUUUCUCAUUUUGCACUCUGGCAUUUUCUUAAUCUCUUUCUACAUGAAAUCCCAUAGGGUAGGUUAUGUACUAAAGUAUAGGUACAGAAAGCUAAUUCAAUAGAGCAAACCUUACGUCCACCCUUUAUUGUUAUAAUUUGUAUAGGAAUGGUCAAGUUCAUUGUUUUGUUCUGUGUAGAGCGCUGGGUAGUACCAGCUUCCUUGUAACUUUUAAUUAGACUGUCUAAUAAGCAGUCUGGCUUGACCAUAAGUUCAGAACCUUUAAAUAGAGAUGCAAAAAGCCAAGAAACUUCAGUUCAUAGUAAAGACACAGAAGAGAGAACUCCAGUUAACGUCAAGAUAUUUCUCGUAUUGAUUGCAACCAAGUGUACUUGUCUUAUAGCCUCCAAUUGUAUUUUAUCUCGGAUUUUGGACCGUGGGAUGACGGAAUAAAGUUCCACAUAAGCCACACUAAAGUCUGUGAAUACAUUUCUUUUGGAGUGAGAGUAUUUGUUAGCCGAAACUCCGUCCGUUUAUCGAGGAUAAAGGGCGGCAGCCACAAU
rnacentral:misc_RNA from 1 species